rnacentral:rRNA from 1 species
GAUCAUGGCUCAGAUUGAACGCUGGCGGCAUGCCUUACACAUGCAAGUCGAACGGCAGCACGGGAGCUUGCUCCUGGUGGCGAGUGGCGAACGGGUGAGUAAUACAUCGGAACGUACCCUGAAGUGGGGAUAACGUAGCGAAAGUUACGCUAAUACCGCAUAUUCUGUGAGCAGGAAAGAGGGGGAUCGCAAGACCUCUUGCUUUAGGAGCGGCCGAUGUCGGAUUAGCUAGUUGGUGAGGUAAAGGCUCACCAAGGCGACGAUCCGUAGCGGGUCUGAGAGGAUGAUCCGCCACACUGGGACUGAGACACGGCCCAGACUCCUACGGGAGGCAGCAGUGGGGAAUUUUGGACAAUGGGCGCAAGCCUGAUCCAGCCAUGCCGCGUGAGUGAAGAAGGCCUUCGGGUUGUAAAGCUCUUUCGGUGGGGAAGAAAUUGCUUCGGUUAAUACCUGGAGUAGAUGACGGUACCCGCAUAAGAAGCACCGGCUAACUACGUG